GGUUUUUAAAGGCAGUGCUUUAAUGCCUUUCUAGUUGCCGGGUUAAUCCUUCCUUCCGCGAUAUCCAACUUAUCUACGUGGGGGGUCAUUAGGCUCCAAGUAGAUCCGGAAAUGUUGAAUUCUCUCCUCUUCUUAUUGUGAUAUAAAAUGUUUUUUGUUUCAUUUCAUUUACAUUGGGAAAUAGAGAAACGAUCAUUGUGUUUUGUUAGUUUUAAAAACUUUUGAUAUAUUUGUAUUUUGCAUUAUAAGCAGUCAACCGAUUGACAAACUAGAAUUAUUUGAAUUCCGUGUGGAAAGAGCUCGGGUUAAUUUCGAGUGUUAUCUGCAAUCUAUAUGUUUAUAAAUCAUUUCAGUCGUUGAUAUAAUAAUUAAGAGUCGACUGAACAUUAAUUAUAUUAUACAAUUUAAAGCGCAUUUCUGUUUAUGCACGUGAACCCGUCUAACGUUAUUGUUAUUUCGCAGUUAUAUAAAGUAGCAAAUUAUCGUUCCUGAAUAGGUGGCGCCGUGGUAGCCGAUCCUGUUCCUCAAUUUCCGGUUUCUGCACUGUGCAACUAUUUCAGUUACAUUUUAAAUUAACGAUGCCAAGUACUUGUUGUUGUGUACCUGGAUGUCAUUUAAGAGGAGGACAUGCAUUUCCAAAUGACUUAAAAAGAAGGAAAAGUUGGAUCAACGCCAUGGCCCAAACGCAGCUUAGACGAGAACACGAUUUCAUCGUGGAGUCCAUCUCAAUCAGCUGUUGUUUGCAAGGCACAUUUUACUGAAAAAGACUACGUGCAGGAAACUAUUCAUGGUCGCAAACCCACCAUACAGAGACUUUAAAGUCUACUGCCAUUCCCAGCCUAUUUUCCUGGACCAAGCAAGAGACUGAAUCGUCCGCAAAAAGAAAAAUCAGGGCAGUUUCCUGUGAAAACAAAAAAACUAAACUUGAUGAAUAUUGUAGUAGAAAUCUAGAGGAAAGUUUUGAUUGUAAAGUUGGUUUUCCUGAAGAAGUCAUUCAUACUGCAGAAAGGAUUUAUGACUGUCCACCACCAACUGCUGAGCUAAUGUUGAGCUUCAAAGAUGGAAUUACGCAAACACCAUCAAUGUCUAUGUUUUCAGCAGAGAAUUUUGAAAUGAAGACACGUGACACAGCCAUGCAUUUUUAUACCAGUUUAGAGUUGUAUACUAAAUUUUUAUUUGUUUUGACCACACUUGGUCCAACAGCACAUUGUUUGGGAUACAUAUAUUUUCAAAUUGAUAGGGUGUCAGUUGAAAAUCAGUUUUUUUAUGACUUUGAUGAAAUUGAGGCAUUAUACAACCAACUUUGAACUUUCUAGAUUCUAGAUUGAAUCUAGUGUUAAGAAUAUUGUGUAUACAUGGAUUGUUUUUAUGCCUAAACAGUGGUGUGAGGCUAACACUUGGCCAUCUAGUGGUUUAGUCAGGCAUUUUUCGCCAUCCAACUUCAAAUUAAAGUUUCCUACGACUUGGAUUAUUAUUGACAGCACAGAAUAUCCCGUGAUAAAACUAAAGCUCCUAGAGCUCAGGCAACCUUUUCAUCAUAUAAAAACAGAAACACUGAAAAUACUUGUAUGUUCGACGCCUGGUGGUUUAGUCAACUAUGUCUCUAAUGCAUAUGUUGGUUCUACCAGUGACUAUGAAAUAGUUGAAAGAUGUAGAAUACAAAAUGUAGUUCAAUUAUGUGAUCCAGCCAUCCAGGUGACAGUGUGAUGGCAGACAAAGGUUUAAAUGUGCAAGAUUUGUUUGCUAACUUUUUUCAAAAAAAGAAACAGAAUUAAUUCCAAAACUCUUAUACAGGAUAGAAAAGUCUCCAAUUAACAUGUACACAUAGAGCGAAUUAUUGGACUUGGCAAAACAUACAAAAUUCUAACAAAUCCUAUGAAUGGAACUGAAACAAAACUUUCAUCUGAAAUAACAUUUAGUUGUUUUAUGUUGUGUAAUUUUAGAACUUGUAUUGUGCCAAAGGAUGCAGAAAUAAAAGUGACGCAAUGAA